rnacentral:rRNA from 1 species
UACAGAGGGGGCAAGCGUUGUUCGGAAUUACUGGGCGUAAAGGGCGCGUGGGCGGCCUUCUAAGUCGAACGUGAAAUCCCCGGGCUCAACCCGGGAACUGCGUCCGAUACUGGCAGGCUUGAAUCCGGGAGAGGGAUGUGGAAUUCCAGGUGUAGCGGUGAAAUGCGUAGAUAUCUGGAGGAACACCGGUGGCGAAGGCGGCAUCCUGGACCGGUAUUGACGCUGAUGCGCGAAAGCCAGGGGAGCAAACGGG